rnacentral:misc_RNA from 1 species
GAAAUGCGAUAAGUAAUGUGAAUUGCAGAAUUCAGUGAAUCAUCGAAUCUUUGAACGCACAUUGCGCCCGCCAGUAUUCUGGCGGGCAUGCCUGUUCGAGCGUCAUUACAACCCUCAGGCCCCCGGGCCUGGCGUUGGGGAUCGGCGGAAGCCCCUUGCGGGCACAACGCCGUCCCCCAAAUACAGUGGCGGUCCCGCCGCAGCUUCCAUUGCGUAGUAGCUAACACCUCGCAACUGGAGAGCGGCGCGGCCACGCCGUAAAACACCCAACUUCUGAAUGUUGACCUCGAAUCAGGUAGGAAUACCCGCUGAACUUAAGC